UUGGUGUUUUCCUCUGGCGUCUGGAUGUGCACAGAGUGCAGUCUCUUCUGGUUUCCCAGGCGUGUCUGCCUCUCUGAAGGUUCAGCUCUCCCUCCCACGGGAUUUGGGUGCACAGAACUGUUUAUCCGGUCUGUUUCCUUCAGGUUCCGGCGGUGUCUCAGGCGCAGGGGUCCUGCCGCUCCCGGAACAUCCGACUUCUUAACCAAUAAAAUAUGCUCCUCAAACAUUCUAGGAUUCAAAAGGAGUAUAUAU
ensembl:lncRNA